rnacentral:lncRNA from 1 species
AUGGAUCUAUUGGCCCUGGACUUGGAGGUGGAGUAGAAUACCAAAUUGGCAAAGUUAGUGAUUGAGAAGGCGACAAAGAAGAAGGCAGUAAUUGAGUGGGUGGUGAAAAAUAUGUAUGGAUAGUGGAGCUAGCGUAGGUGAAGGAAGAGUGGGUUCUGGUAGGCUAAAGAUUGACGGUUCGAAGAGGUGGUAGUAUAGUCGGCGAUUUUCGACCGCC